CAUGCAGUCGAGCGGGGAAGUGUAGCUUGCUACAUUACCUAGCGGCGGACGGGUGAGUAAUGCUUAGGAAUCUGCCUAUUAGUGGGGGACAACAUUCCGAAAGGAAUGCUAAUACCGCAUACGUCCUACGGGAGAAAGCAGGGGAUCUUCGGACCUUGCGCUAAUAGAUGAGCCUAAGUCGGAUUAGCUAGUUGGUGGGGUAAAGGCCUACCAAGGCGACGAUCUGUAGCGGGUCUGAGAGGAUGAUCCGCCACACUGGGACUGAGACACGGCCCAGACUCCUACGGGAGGCAGCAGUGGGGAAUAUUGGACAAUGGGCGGAACCCUGAUCCAGCCAUGCCGCGUGUGUGAAGAAGGCCUUUUGGUUGUAAAGCACUUUAAGCGAGGAGGAGGCUACUCUAGUUAAUACCUAGAGAUAGUGGACGUUACUCGCAGAAUAAGCACCGGCUAACUCUGUGCCAGCAGCCGCGGUAAUACAGAGGGUGCGAGCGUUAAUCGGAUUUACUGGGCGUAAAGCGUGCGUAGGCGGCUGAUUAAGUCGGAUGUGAAAUCCCUGAGCUUAACUUAGGAAUUGCAUUCGAUACUGGUCAGCUAGAGUAUGGGAGAGGAUGGUAGAAUUCCAGGUGUAGCGGUGAAAUGCGUAGAGAUCUGGAGGAAUACCGAUGGCGAAGGCAGCCAUCUGGCCUAAUACUGACGCUGAGGUAC
rnacentral:rRNA from 1 species